AACAGGAUUAGAUACCCUGGUAGUCCACGCCGUAAACGAUGAGUGCUAGGUGUUGGGGGGCUACGCCCCUCAGUGCCGAAGGUAACCCAUUAAGCACUCCGCCUGGGGAGUACGGCCGCAAGGCUGAAACUCAAAGGAAUUGACGGGGGCCCGCACAAGCGGUGGAGCAUGUGGUUUAAUUCGAAGCAACGCGAAGAACCUUACCAGGGCUUGACAUCCCGCUGACCCCUCCAGAGAUGGAGGUUUCCUUCGGGACAGCGGUGACAGGUGGUGCAUGGUUGUCGUCAGCUCGUGUCGUGAGAUGUUGGGUUCAGUCCCGCAACGAGCGCAACCCUUGUCGUUAGUUGCCAGCAUUUCGGAUGGGCACUCUAACGAGACAGCCGGUGAAAGCCGGGGGAAGGUGGGGAUGACGUCAAAUCAUCAUGCCCCUUAUGUCCUGGGCUACACACGUGCUACAAUGGCUGGUACAAAGGGCUGCGAACCCGCGAGGGGGAGCCAAUCCCAAAAAGCCAGUCUCAGUUCGGAUCGCAGGCUGCAACUCGCCUGCGUGAAGCCGGAAUCGCUAGUAAUCGCGGAUCAGCAUGCCGCGGUGAAUAUGUUCCCGGGCCUUGUACACACCGCCCGUCACACCACGAGAGUUUGCAACACCCGAAGUCGGUGAGGCAACCUUUUAGGAGCCAGCCGCCGAAGGUAGGGCAGAUGAUUGGGGUGAAGUCGUAACAAGGUAACC
rnacentral:rRNA from 1 species